UGGGGAAUUUUGCGCAAUGGGGGAAACCCUGACGCAGCAACGCCGCGUGAGUGAUGAAGGCCUUCGGGUCGUAAAGCUCUGUCAGAGGGGAAGAAAUGCAGGGGUGCUAAUAUCAUCUUUGCUUGACGGUACCCUCAAAGGAAGCACCGGCUAACUCCGUGCCAGCAGCCGCGGUAAUACGGUGGUUGCGUGCGUUUUUCGGCUUUUUUGGGCGUAAAGCGCGUGUAGGCGGUUUGAUAAGUCUGAUGUGAAAGCCCCGGUCUCAACCUGGGAAGUGAAUUGGAAACUGUCAGACUUGAAUACGGGAGAGGGCAGUGGAAAUCCUAGUGUAGGAGUGAAAUCCGUAGAUAUUAGGAGGAACACCGGUGGCGAAGGCGGCUACCUGGAACGAUAUUGACGCUGAGACGCGAAAGCGUGGGGAGCAAACAG
rnacentral:rRNA from 1 species